rnacentral:lncRNA from 1 species
UUUCCCUCAAAAUAGUCAAGCUUCAGAUGGGGGGAAUGGAAGUGUGUAGAUAAAACCAGACUGCGUAUGUGCUGAUAACCAUUUAAACUGGGUGAUGGGUACAUGAAACUUCAUUACACUAUUCUCUCUACUUUCAUGUUUGAAAAUCUUCAUAGUAAUGUCUUUAAACAUCCUUUUAAAUCUGCCAGGCUAUAGGUAGAUUUAAAGGAUAAGGCUUCCAUGAGAUUAGAGGAUUGUUUGAAAGGAAACACUGCAGUCAAUGAACUGAAAGGAAGCCAUAAAAUCUAGAUUUGGGAGGUAGUAAUGACAUAGUAGAAGGGUAUGACUUAUGAAUGAGUAGACAUGGAGGACAGGAGGUCUUUUGGGGGCUGAAGAAAUCAAGGGAUGGGAUGGGUCAUUCAUGUGGCAUUAAGGAUCCAAGAAUGACCACAGAAGGAACAAGAGAAAAAGGCUGGAAGCCAGGUGCCAGAGUUAUCAACGAAGGAGGAGGGGUGGUAGGGAGGUCA